rnacentral:rRNA from 1 species
GGUUAAGUUAGUAAGGGCGCACGGUGGAUGCCUUGGCACUAGGAGCCGAAGAAGGACGUGACAAACGACGAAAUGCCUCGGGGAGCUGUAAGUAAGCGACGAUCCGUGGAUG